rnacentral:rRNA from 1 species
AUGAACGCUAGCUACAGGCUUAACACAUGCAAGUCGAGGGGCAGCAUGAACUUAGCUUGCUAAGUUUGAUGGCGACCGGCGCACGGGUGAGUAACACGUAUCCAACCUGCCGAUGACUCGGGGAUAGCCUUUCGAAAGAAAGAUUAAUACCCGAUGGCAUAGUUCUUCCGCAUGGUAGAACUAUUAAAGAAUUUCGGUCAUCGAUGGGGAUGCGUUCCAUUAGGUUGUUGGCGGGGUAACGGCCCACCAAGCCUUCGAUGGAUAGGGGUUCUGAGAGGAAGGUCCCCCACAUUGGAACUGAGACACGGUCCAAACUCCUACGGGAGGCAGCAGUGAGGAAUAUUGGUCAAUGGACGAGAGUCUGAACCAGCCAAGUAGCGUGAAGGAUGACUGCCCUAUGGGUUGUAAACUUCUUUUAUACGGGAAUAAAGUGAGGCACGUGUGCCUUUUUGUAUGUACCGUAUGAAUAAGGAUCGGCUAACUCCGUGCCAGCAGCCGCGGUAAUACGGAGGAUCCGAGCGUUAUCCGGAUUUAUUGGGUUUAAAGGGAGCGUAGGCGGACGCUUAAGUCAGUUGUGAAAGUUUGCGGCUCAACCGUAAAAUUGCAGUUGAUACUGGGUGUCUUGAGUACAGUAGAGGCAGGCGGAAUUCGUGGUGUAGCGGUGAAAUGCUUAGAUAUCACGAAGAACUCCGAUUGCGAAGGCAGCUUGCUGGACUGUAACUGACGCUGAUGCUCGAAAGUGUGGGUAUCAAACAGGAUUAGAUACCCUGGUAGUCCACACCGUAAACGAUGGAUACUAGGUGUAGGAGAUAUUAAGUCUUCUGUGCCGUCGCAAACGCAGUAAGUAUUCCACCUGGGGAGUACGCCGGCAACGGUGAAACUCAAAGGAAUUGACGGGGGCCCGCACAAGCGGAGGAACAUGUGGUUUAAUUCGAUGAUACGCGAGGAACCUUACCCGGGCUUGAAUUGCAACUGAAUGAUGUGGAGACAUGUCAGCCGCAAGGCAGUUGUGAAGGUGCUGCAUGGUUGUCGUCAGCUCGUGCCGUGAGGUGUCGGCUUAAGUGCCAUAACGAGCGCAACCCUUAUCGAUAGUUACCAUCAGGUUAUGCUGGGGACUCUGUCGAGACUGCCGUCGUAAGAUGUGAGGAAGGUGGGGAUGACGUCAAAUCAGCACGGCCCUUACGUCCGGGGCUACACACGUGUUACAAUGGGGGGUACAGAAGGCAGCUACACGGCGACGUGAUGCUAAUCCCGAAAGCCUCUCUCAGUUCGGAUUGGAGUCUGCAACCCGACUCCAUGAAGCUGGAUUCGCUAGUAAUCGCGCAUCAGCCACGGCGCGGUGAAUACGUUCCCGGGCCUUGUACACACCGCCCGUCAAGCCAUGAAAGCCGGGGGUACCUGAAGUGCGUAACCGCAAGGAGCGCCCUAGGGUAAAACUGGUGAUUGGGGCU